rnacentral:rRNA from 1 species
AUGGUGUCAUGGAGUGAUGGGUCGGAUAGCAGCGAGCACACCUUGGAGUACAUGAGCUCAGCUUCCGACGACGGCACCAUUAAGGUUCCUGCUAGCAUUGAAGACUCAGAUUUCGAGGGCCCCGAGACUGAAUUGCAUGUUUUGUGCCAUGUACACGGGAAGGCAUCAGAGAGGCGUGUUGCUUUCGAAGGAAUUCACACUGGCAGGAGGUUUCUUUGUUGCGCAGAGAAGGAAGGUAAAAACUGUGGACUAGUAGAAUGGAUUGAUCCAUCUUGGCCCAAUACCCUUGAGAAUGCAUUAUCCAAGUUAUGGUUUAUGUAUGAACAGAGUAAGAGAGACAGGACCGAGGACAAUCUGAUGAAUUAA